rnacentral:rRNA from 1 species
GUACACACCGCCCGUCGCYCCUACCGAUUGGGUGUGCUGGUGAAGUGUUCGGRUUGGCAAAGCUGGUGGUCUCCACUUGCUAAUGCCAAGAAGUUCAUUAAACCCUCCCACCUAGAGGAAGGAGAAGUCGUAACAAGGUUUCCGUAGGUGAACCUGCAGAAGGAUCA